AGGCAAACCUAUAGAAAUGUAGGGACGCAAAGUUUAGUAUCUAAGGGGAUUCCUAUGAUUGACUGGCUGC
rnacentral:ncRNA from 1 species